rnacentral:rRNA from 1 species
UACGUAGGGGGCAAGCGUUGUCCGGAUUUAUUGGGCGUAAAGAGCGUGUAGGCGGCUUGGUAGGUCCGCUGUGAAAACUCGAGGCUCAACCUCGAGAUGUCGGCGGAAACCACUUGGCUAGAGUCCGGAAGAGGAGAGUGGAAUUCCUGGUGUAGCGGUGAAAUGCGCAGAUAUCAGGAAGAACACCUACGGCGAAGGCAGCUCUCUGGGACGGUACUGACGCUGAGACGCGAAAGCGUGGGGAGCGAACAGG